rnacentral:rRNA from 1 species
GAUGAACGCUAGCGGCAGGCUUAAUACAUGCAAGUCGAGGGACAGCACAGGUAGCAAUACUGGGUGGUAACCGGCAAACGGGUGCGGAACACGUACACAACCUUCCUUUAAGUGGGGGAUAGCCCAGAGAAAUUUGGAUUAAUACCCCGUAAUAUAGUUGAAUGGCAUCAUUUGAUUAUUAUAGCUACGGCGCUUAAUGAUGGGUGUGCGGCUGAUUAGAUAGUUGGCGGGGUAACGGCCCACCAAGUCUACGAUCAGUAGCUGAUGUUAGAGCAGGGUCAGCCAAACGGGAACUGGGACACGGUCCCGACUCCUACGGGAGGCAGCAGUAAGGAAUAUUGGUCAAUGGACGCAAGUCUGAACCAGCCAUGCCGCGUGAAGGAUUAAGGUCCUCUGGAUUGUAAACUUCUUUUAUUUGGGACGAAAAAGGGCCUUUCUAGGUCAACUGACGGUACCAGAUGAAUAAGCACCGGCUAACUCCGUGCCAGCCGCCGCAGUAAAAC